CGCUGCCCGAGAAGGGUCGCCAGGGCCCCACACCGCCGGCAAGGGUGCCCCCGGCCCCGGGCACUGAGCCCAGCACUUUAGCCCCCAGCAACCUGAAGGCCCCGCGGCCCCACCCGAGCUCCGGAGUCCCGGGAGCCUCCAGGCCACAGCAGCCGGAGGCGUUUCCGAAGGCUGGUAUGCCCUCCGGCCCGGACAAGACCAAGAGAGCCGAGACCAAGCCCAGGGCCCUGGCUGAGGCCCCUGUGCAGCCCCCUGUGGGUGGCGGCGGCAGCAGCAGCGGCGGAGGAGGCGCGACCCCGCCCGGGACUGCGCCCCAAAGAGCGAGGGCCCUGGGCUGCGCCGUGGAGAGACUACCUGUGCCACCGGCAGGCGGCCGAGCUCGGGGAGCUGCUGCCCAAGAGACUGAAGGCCAGCGUUGCGGCCCCGGACACUGAGCAGCCCGGGCCCACCUGCAGGCGGAGCUACGACCUCCCCAAGUACCAUGCACCCCGGGCAUUGCCACGCUGAUGCCGCAGGAGUGUGCGUGCCCGCCAGCGCCCUGCCACCCAAGCCCCGCUUCCUGGGCCCCGGGGACUCGGAUGCCCCGAGCGUGCAGGCCACGCAGAGGUCCGCUUGGCGGGGGCGCUGUACACCUGCGCCCCCUGGGCACCCUGCCGCUGGGCUGGCGCUGGAAGGUAGGCAGACGCGGGGCUGCUGUCCCGGUGCCCAGCCCUCGGGGUCGGGUCUCACUGUGGCAUAGCUACACCUCGUGCUAAAGUGGGGUCUCCUCUCGUGAACAGCAGGGCUCUGAGCCCGCCCAGCCCUUCCCUGCUGUGGGAGCUGCAGGUGCAUGUCUGCCCUGCACACCUCCGUGUGGGGCUUGGGUGCCUCCCAACACACCCAUGCCAAGGGCACCUUGGGAGGCUCAGCCUGGCCGGCCGCUGCCCAGGGCUGCGUGCGCCUCACAAAUCAGCUUGUGGGGCCUCCCCAUGGCGGGCAGGAGGCCAGGGUCCGGUUAGCAACCUCGCUUCAGUCCAGUGCCUUCCUUUACCAGGCCUCGGCCCCGGCCUCAGGAGUCCGGGUCUGCUGAGCCUCUGCCUGUCGGGGUCCUGUGUGGACCCCAGACACUGUGGGCUGGGCGAGGUAGCGAUUGGAAGGCAGUUGCUUUCACACCCUCCAGUGGGCUUUACUGAAAUUGUGAUGAAAGUAGUUUUUGCUGCUUUUGGGUUAAAAGUGGCAAAUGUGCACCCACCCUAAAUGGACCCAGAUCACAACUGUAGGAGCAGAAGGGCUCUAUGUUGGGGCUCACGUCCCCUCGAGUUUUUCUUCUGACACUUAAAGUUGCUUUGGGUUCGAGAUACGCAUCGUGUGUAGUGUUCUAUUCUGCCAUUCUCUGGUGGCUUUUUUUUUUUUGGUACUGGGAAUCGAACUCGGGUCCUUGCACCUGUUCAGGAGGCGGCAAAACUAUUGAGCUACAUCCCCAGCCCCUCUCUGGUUGCUUUUAAAGUUCUUAUUAAUGACAACCUGGAAGCUAGGCAACUUCAGGGCUUAAAAUGCUGUGCUAAUAAUUCUUCUCAUAAAACAAAUGGCUGCAACUGCACAAACACACCUGUGUGUGUGUGUGUGUUGCAACAUAAAGUGCUCACACUCUUAGUGUUGGGGGAUUUCCGUGUCAUGUACCCCUCAUGGAAUCACUUGAAUGUACGCUGAGUGCUGCUUUUUUUAUGCUUUCCUUUCAAUCAGGAAAAGACCUGUGUCCUACCAACACUUAGCCACCAGCCUCCUGCAGAAGAGAAGCUACGAGAGUUUUAUUGGGAGUGCACAUUAUCGACCAAAUGACAAAAAGACUUGAUUUCCUAUUGGGGAAGAAAGGUUUUGCCGGAUGUAAGUGCAUACUCUCCGUGAAAUUAAACUUUGGUUCAUCCUCUGAGAAAGGAAAUGGUGAAGCUACUGAAAUAAGCUGUGAUUGUACUGUAUUAGAGCACGCGAGGAGCAUGUGAGGAACACUACAGCUUCGGAAGGUUGUUCUGUAACUUUUGUACCAAAUAGCAAUAAAAGCGCAGUUGGAACAGUUGGGCCAUACACAGGUGGGGACUGGAAAUCUCUAUUUUGUCCCUGAAUAAUAUUUUUAGAAUUGACCAAAUAAGUGGAGUUUUGCAUCCUUGAGCGCUGCUGAAGAGAAAUCACUGGGGCUGGGGCGGGGGCGGGGGAAAGUCUAUCAUGCUUGCAUCUCAGGUAAGAGUCUGUAAAUAUCUAAGUUGUAAACCUGCUUGUUUAAAUACUGUGUGUAUUCCUUUUCCCUGAUGGAGCUCAACACCUGUAGCAUUGUCUGCUGUUUGUGCUCAUUUAAAAAUGUUUGUUUUUAAAAAUUUUCUAAGGGUCUGUAUUGUGUCAAAUCCCCCCAACCUGUUGUCUGAACAAAAUGUUGGCGGAAGUGUCGGGCGUGGCCCUCUCUGAAGACGGGGGGCUGCACCCUGACCCCCGUCCCUCAUGAGGCGGUGUCCCUGGGCCUGUCCGGUGUCCCCAGCCUGUCCGCUGAGCUGUUUGUGGAGCUGUUUCCGUUUUUUGCCAUCUGUUUGCUUCUGUGGGAAGAUUUAGCUUUUUGGGGAGUGUUUGGCUAAAUUAAUCUAUAAAAAAUGCUAGAUUGCAAAUAGUGAGAAGCAAUUUUAAGGGAAUGAAGGGCCUUGGGGCAGAUGUUAGGUGUGUAUCUGAGAGUCGCAGCCACCAGGUAGUGCAGACGUGGAUUCAGAGUGGGAAACUAGGAAACUAACCGCUGGCCAAGCCCCCAGGGCGGGGCAGGGAACUGGGACCCCGCUGGUCUCCUGCAUAUGAGGCUGUUUCGCCCACGCACAGGCAGUUUGGGUUUUAGAUGGGAGCCCACUUGGCGUUUUAAACUCGUGUUUCUUUGAUGUGUUGUCCAUGGCUGAGUUUUCCCAGCAGUUCAUGAGUUUAGCAACCACAGAAUAUUUUAUGAAGAAACUAUUUCAAAGAUAAAUUUGCACUGCCCAUUUUUUCUGCCCUGCUCCUCUGUGGAGGGCGAAGUGCUCUAAGAAGCCCAGUGUUUCCUUAGGCAGCAGCACGCUGUCCUGGGUCUGCCUCCCGGUGUGGGCUCCCAGGUCGAGCCGGAGUGGCACGCUCGCCCAAGUCCUGUUCACAAGCUGAGCCAUAUGUACAUAAUCUAGAUGGGUGUUUUCAUAGUUUUGCACUUUUUUAUAGCCUAUUUUUGAAGAUUAGCACAUUUGCAAAAUGAUUGAUUCAGUCUUUGCCUAAUCCAGUGAGUGUUACAGAAAGCUUGCUGGGAUAUAAAUGUAAGUCUUAAAAAAGGGAUGUGGUAACAGCGGGCUGAAUUUAAAACUAUUAAAAAAAAUCACCAAAUCUAUGUGAAAACAAAUCAAGUUUGUGUUUACGCUGAAAUUUUUGGGCUUUUGUAUCUCCUUUCCAACUACAUUUCUGAACGCAUAAAAAUAGCAAUUUUUUUUAACAGCCCUUUGUACUUCAAAGUAUGUUUGUGUCCAUCAGUAUUAACUAUUGGAAUACUACUGCUUUUGUAUGUUUUUUUCCUUUGAGACAACAGUACAUUUAAUAGAGGUACAAUUCGUUGAAUUUUUGUUGAUGUAUUUAUUUUAUUCCAGUUUGAUUUAUUUUAAUUGUUACUUGUCAAACAGUAGACAUUACUUAUUUUAUUUAUGAUAUAUUUCAGCCUAAAGUUAUGUUAUUAUAUGUGGAUGUAAAUAUAGAUUUGGUGUUUUGCAGUCAUUGCCUUUUGUUUUUACUGUAUUCCUGGUUUCCCGAUUUUAUUUCACUUUAUAAAUGUGGCCUUCAGCACGCACAGUAACACGGUUAUUGUAACGAAUCCGUGUUCUUGUUUGGUGGAGUCUUUUUAAAGCAAUUCUCAGACGCAGUUGUCUCACCCCCGCAGUGACGCUUUGGUAAGUGUCCUCAUCCAGUGCCCACAUGUGCCACCUCACCGCAUCUGCACUCCGCGACAGCUCCGCCAGGACGGAACUUCCUGCUUGCCUCUUGGCCAAGCGUGGUGACACAGGCGUAAUCCCAGCACCUGGGAGGCUGAGGCAGGAGGAUCGUCGUGAGCACAAGGCCAGCCUGGGCUACAUCAUGAGUUCAAGGCCAUCUAGAUCUGGGCUGCAGGGCAGACGCUGUCUCAGAAAACC
rnacentral:lncRNA from 1 species